CCUUGGGCCAAUUAUCGCUGCAGGGCAUAGUAUAGUUGGGGUGGGUGCAAGCAAGCUCGAGGUAGGGAACAGCUGAGCUGAGCUGCCGUAAGUGCUGUGCAGCGCAUCGCAACGGAGCUUUCGAAGCCGAGCUUUAAGAUCGCCGGUGGCUAUCUCCGCGUCGGUAGCAAAUAUAUAACUCAAUCGACCACGUGUAAGCCCAAAAGAAUAGAAAAGUAACCCAAAUAAGUGCCACAAAGACAAACCGAAAAGAAAUAAAACGGAACGGGGAAAAUCCCACACGGUGGGCGCGCCGCAAAAUUCGGGCGAAAAUUAAUAACCGUGCGCCGAGAAAACUGGCAAGAAACUACCCUGGCGAAAAGUGCAUAUUUGCCUCGCCGCGCCAGCAAGUGUUGUUCUUGUUGCAAACCCGUGCGUCCCGCAGCUCUGCCAGGAGAACCCAACGCUCGUGUCUCCGUGGAAAAGUCCGAAAAACUGGGCCCUGGCCCCGAGCGGUAGCCACCCGGCUCUCCAAAAGUUCUGCCCCACCCACACCGAGAUUUUGUUGUCCCUUUUGGAGUCGUUGAAGCAUCCACCUGCCCGGCGACAUAACCUCCACCGGCCAUAACCCUUGCGCCAUAUCUAACGUACGCGCAUAGAGGGCA